GCUGUGUGAAAUUCUAGAUCUAAAGGAACGUCUUCAUAUGCAAUUUGAGGAGAAGCAGAAGCUGUUUGAGGAGAAAAGUGCAGAGAUUCAGGCAUCACUUACCAUGGUUGAAAACACAGUACAGAAGCAAGAAAACAAUACAACUUAAUGAUACAAGGAAAGCAGUUGGAGUUGACGAAGCAUUUAAAGGCAAUUCUCAGCGGAAUGUUCAGGUACCAAUUUUUCCAUUUUCCCCACAUUUUAUUUACUUAUGGCAGAUUUGUUCUAGUUUGGGAACUCAAUGAAUUUAAUUAGGCAAUUAAUGAGAUAAGAUGAAAGUAUGAGGUGGAGAAGCUAGAGAUUGUUAAUGCUGAGAAAGAAAAGGUCUGCUCCAUUUUUAAAUUGCUCAGUUGAUCUUCAUGUACUUUGGAUUAUCAUUCAUUUUUCUAUAUUAUUUGAACCAAAAUAGGCUGACA